UACGUAGGGUGCAAGCGUUGUCCGGAAUUAUUGGGCGUAAAGAGCUCGUAGGCGGUCUGUUGCGUCCGCUGUGAAAACUCGGGCUUAACCCCGAGCCUGCAGUGGAUACGGGCAGACUAGAGGUAGGUAGGGAGAAUGGAAUUCCCGGUGUAGCGGUGAAAUGCGCAGAUAUCGGGAGGAACACCGGUGGCGAAGGCGGUCUCUGGGCCUUACCUGACG
rnacentral:rRNA from 1 species